AUUAGAUACAAAACCAAUGCCCUUCGGGGCUCUUUGGUGAUUCAUGAUAACUAUACGAAUCGCACGGCCUUGCGCCGGCGAUGGUUCAUUCAAAUUUCUUCCCUAUCAACUUUCGAUGUUUGGGUAUUGGCCAAACAUGGUUGCAACGGGUAACGGAGGGUUAGGGCUCGACCCCGGAGAAGGAGCCUGAGAAACGGCUACUACAUCCAAGGAAGGCAGCAGGCGCGCAAAUUACCCAAUCCCGACUCGGGGAGGUAGUGACAAUAAAUACUGAUACAGGGCCCUUUCGGGCCUUGUAAUUGGAAUGAGUACAAUUUAAAUCCCUUAACGAGGAACAAUUGGAGGGCAAGUCUGGUGCCAGCAGCCGCGGUAAUUCCAGCUCCAAUAGCGUAUAUUAAAGUUGUUGUGGUUAAAAAGCUCGUAGUUGAACCUUGGGCCUGGCUGGCCGGUCCGCCUCACCGCGUGCACUGGUCCGGCCGGGCCUUUCCCUCUGUGGAACCCCAUACCCUUCACUGGGCGUGGCGGGGAAACAGGACAUUUACUUUGAAAAAAUUAGAGUGCUCCAGGCAGGCCUAUGCUCGAAUACAUUAGCAUGGAAUAAUAAAAUAGGACGCGCGGUUCUAUUUUGUUGGUUUAUAGGACCGCCGUAAUGAUUAAUAGGGACAGUCGGGGGCAUCAGUAUUCAACUGUCAGAGGUGAAAUUCUUGGAUCAGUUGAAGACUAACUACUGCGAAAGCAUUUGCCAAGGAUGUUUUCAUUAAUCAGGAACGAAAGUUAGGGGAUCGAAGACGAUCAGAUACCGUCGUAGUCUUAACCAUAAACUAUGCCGACUAGGGAUCGGACGGUGUUAUUCAUGACCCGUUCGGCACCUUACGAGAAAUCAAAGUGCUUGGGCUCCAGGGGGAGUAUGGUCGCAAGGCUGAAACUUAAAGAAAUUGACGGAAGGGCACCACCAGGGGUGGAGCCUGCGGCUUAAUUUGACUCAACACGGGGAAACUCACCAGGUCCAGACACAAUAAGGAUUGACAGAUUGAGAGCUCUUUCUUGAUUUUGUGGGUGGUGGUGCAUGGCCGUUCUUAGUUGGUGGGGUGACUUGU
rnacentral:rRNA from 1 species